AUACAAUUACAAUUGAUGACUUAUUUGAUUUUAUAUUAUAUUAUAUUGAGCGGCGAGGGGAGAGAACUAGAAGGAGGAGGCAGGAGCGGAGCUUAGCUUAGCUUAGGUUUGUUGUGUUUUCAAGAUUGGGAUCCCAUAUCCACACAUAAUGAGCAACGAAUACGAUUACCUGUUCAAGCUUCUACUGAUCGGAGACUCCUCAGUUGGAAAAUCUUGCUUGCUUCUCCGAUUUGCUGAUGACUCCUAUGUCGACAGCUACAUUAGCACCAUUGGCGUUGAUUUCAAAAUCAGAACUGUCGAGCUCCAAGGCAAAACCAUCAAGCUGCAGAUUUGGGAUACUGCUGGACAGGAGCGCUUCAGGACUAUAACAAGCAGUUACUAUAGAGGAGCACAUGGAAUAAUUAUUGUCUAUGAUGUCACUGAGAUGGAAAGCUUCAACAAUGUCAAGCAGUGGUUGAAUGAAAUUGACAGAUAUGCAAAUGACUCUGUAUGCAAGCUUCUUGUGGGGAAUAAAUCUGAUCUAGUUGAAAAUAAGGUUGUUGACACGCAAACUGCUAAGGCAUUUGCAGAUGAGCUUGGUAUCCCUUUCCUUGAGACAAGUGCUAAAGACUCGAUCAAUGUGGAGCAGGCUUUUUUAACUAUGGCAGCAGAGAUUAAGAAGAAGAUGGGAAGCCAACCAACUGGUAGUAAGUCAGCAGAAACUGUUCAAAUGAAAGGGCAACCAAUCCCACAGAAGAGCAACUGUUGUGGUUAGGUAGAACUUGUAUUUUUCUAGCAACACUGCUAUAUUAAGAGAGAACUUGUUUCCUGACUCUGUCAAGCUAGGGAAACCUUAUAUUGGUGCAGGAUGGAAUUGCUCGUGUAUGCAUCAUAAUUUUACACUGUGAAACACCACAAGCAGCAUAAGUUGAUGGUGACAUCACGGAGGCAUUGUCCUAUUAACUGAUAUAGUGCUGGAAUAAAAGUGAUAUAGUGCUCGUGUUACUAGUUUUGUUUGAUGUUCUAAAAUUUAUUGCUAACUAGGUUGGAGCACUCAUUGUGCUUCCAAUUAAUAUAUUUGGCUUAUUAAAAAAAAACUGAGGCAUGAUCCUCACCUUCAAUAAAAGAGAGGCUUUUGUGUCAA